rnacentral:rRNA from 1 species
CGCGUGGGCAACCUGCCCCCGAGUUGGGGACAACCAGCCGAAAGGCUGGCUAAUACCGAAUAUGGUCCCCCAUCGCAUGAUGGGGAGAUUAAAGGUGGGGAUCUUCGGACCUGCCGCUUGGGGAGGGGCCCGCGUGCCAUCAGCUUGUUGGUAGGGUAAUGGCCUACCAAGGCUUACGGCUAGCUGGUCUGAGAGGAUGAUCAGCCACACUGGGACUGAGACACUGCCCAG